AAGCGCCGUUAAAGGUCAUGAUCUUUAGCGGCGUUUUUUCAAAUAAACGCCGCAAGCUUUAGUGGCGCCAUCUAUAGCGGCGUUUUUUGCGGCACUUUUACAAGCGCCGUUAAAGACCUUAAAAAACGCCGCUAAAAGUCAAUUUUGCUGCAGUGAAUAGGAGUAAGAAAAUCCUAUCUUCUCACUAUUAAGGUUGGGUUCUCCUUCGAUUGAGUACUUUGUUUUUCUAAUAGCAUCAAUGUGUUCUUUAAGUGACGCCAUUACUAACACAAGUUUCCUUAAUUUCUUUUUUCUCAACGAAAAUGGAAGUUAAGAGCAAGUACAGAGCAGAGAGUGGACCUAAAAAAGGAGGACCUUUUAGUUUCUCCCGUAGAAAAGAAAACCCCAACGCGAAGGGCUUCAUACGGGCAAUGCUUGCCUGCAACUCUCAAUACCAGCGUACUUUUAGCAAUGUGGCAUUUCUCCCUACUCCAACAUUCUUGUUAUGGAUCUUGUUAACUUUGCUUGAAUAUAAACUCGGGAUUUGUAUUUCCUAUUUUCUCUUGUGUAUGUUUAAUUAUUACUGAAAUUUGGAAAAGGAUAUACAUCAAAACCGGUAUAGCUUUCAUUACAA